UGAUGCGGUAGAGGAGCGUUCUGUAAGCCUGUGAAGGUGAGUUGAGAAGCUUGCUGGAGGUAUCAGAAGUGCGAAUGCUGACAUGAGUAACGACAAUGCGAGUGAAAAACUCGCACGCCGAAAGACCAAGGUUUCCUGCGCAACGUUAAUCGACGCAGGGUUAGUCGGUCCCUAAGGCGAGGCUGAAAAGCGUAGUCGAUGGAAAACAGGUUAAUAUUCCUGUACUUCCAGUUAUUGCGAUGGAGGGACGGAGAAGGUUAGGCCAGCCUGGCGUUGGUUGUCCAGGUUUAAGGUGGUAGGCUGAAAUCUUAGGCAAAUCCGGGAUUUCAAGGCCGAGAGCUGAUGACGAGUUGCCUUUAGGCGACGAAGUGGUUGAUACCAUGCUUCCAAGAAAAGCUCCUAAGCUUCAGAUAACUGGGAACCGUACCCCAAACCGACACAGGUGGUUAGGUAGAGAAUACCAAGGCGCUUGAGAGAACUCGGGUGAAGGAACUAGGCAAAAUGGCACCGUAACUUCGGGAGAAGGUGCGCCGGCGAGGGUGAAGGACUUGCUCCGUAAGCUCAUGCCGGUCGAAGAUACCAGGCCGCUGCGACUGUUUAUUAAAAACACAGCACUCUGCAAACACGAAAGUGGACGUAUAGGGUGUGACGCCUGCCCGGUGCCGGAAGGUUAAUUGAUGGGGUUAGCGCAAGCGAAGCUCUUGAUCGAAGCCCCGGUAAACGGCGGCCGUAACUAUAACGGUCCUAAGGUAGCGAAAUUCCUUGUCGGGUAAGUUCCGACCUGCACGAAUGGCGUAACGAUGGCGGCGCUGUCUCCACCCGAGACUCAGUGAAAUUGAAAUCGCUGUGAAGAUGCAGUGUAUCCGCGGCUAGACGGAAAGACCCCGUGAACCUUUACUAUAGCUUUGCACUGGACUUUGAAUUUGCUUGUGUAGGAUAGGUGGGAGGCUUUGAAGUGGGGACGCCAGUUCUCAUGGAGCCAUCCUUGAAAUACCACCCUGGCAACUUUGAGGUUCUAACUCAGGUCCGUCAUCCGGAUCGAGGACAGUGUAUGGUGGGUAGUUUGACUGGGGCGGUCUCCUCCCAAAGAGUAACGGAGGAGUACGAAGGUGCGCUCAGACCGGUCGGAAAUCGGUCGUAGAGUAUAAAGGCAAAAGCGCGCUUGACUGCGAGACAAACACGUCGAGCAGGUACGAAAGUAGGUCUUAGUGAUCCGGUGGUUCUGUAUGGAAGGGCCAUCGCUCAACGGAUAAAAGGUACUCCGGGGAUAACAGGCUGAUACCGCCCAAGAGUUCAUAUCGACGGCGGUGUUUGGCACCUCGAUGUCGGCUCAUCACAUCCUGGGGCUGAAGCCGGUCCCAAGGGUAUGGCUGUUCGCCAUUUAAAGUGGUACGCGAGCUGGGUUUAGAACGUCGUGAGACAGUUCGGUCCCUAUCUGCCGUGGACGUUUGAGAUUUGAGAGGGGCUGCUCCUAGUACGAGAGGACCGGAGUGGACGAACCUCUGGUGUUCCGGUUGUCACGCCAGUGGCAUUGCCGGGUAGCUAUGUUCGGAAGAGAUAACCGCUGAAAGCAUCUAAGCGGGAAACUUGCCUCAAGAUGAGAUCUCACUGGGAUCUUGAAUCCCCUAAAGGGCCGUCGAAGACUACGACGUUGAUAGGUUGGGUGUGUAAGCGCUGUGAGGCGUUGAGCUAACCAAUACUAAUUGCCCGUGAGGCUUGACCAUAUAACACCCAAGCAAUU
rnacentral:rRNA from 1 species